AGUGGGGAUCUUGCACAAUGGAGGAAACUCUGAUGCAGCGAUGCCGCGUGAGUGAAGAAGGCCUUUGGGUUGUAAAGCUCUUUCGUCGGGGAAGAAAAUGACUGUACCCGAAUAAGAAGGUCCGGCUAACUUCGUGCCAGCAGCCGCGGUAAUACGAAGGGACCUAGCGUAGUUCGGAAUUACUGGGCUUAAAGAGUUCGUAGGUGGUUGAAAAAGUUGGUGGUGAAAUCCCAGAGCUUAACUCUGGAACUGCCAUCAAAACUUUUCAGCUAGAGUAUGAUAGAGGAAAGCAGAAUUUCUAGUGUAGAGGUGAAAUUCGUAGAUAUUAGAAAGAAUACCAAUUGCGAAGGCAGCUUUCUGGAUCAUUACUGACACUGAGGAACGAAAGCAUGGGUAGCGAAGAGGAUUAGAUACCCUCGUAGUCCAUGCCGUAAACGAUGUGUGUUAGACGUUGGAAAUUUAUUUUCAGUGUCGCAGCGAAAGCGAUAAACACACCGCCUGGGGAGUACGACCGCAAGGUUAAAACUCAAAUGAAUUGACGGGGACCCGCACAAGUAGUGGAGCAUGUGGUUUAAUUCGAAGAUACGCGCAGAACCUUACCAACACUUGACAUGUUCGUCGCGACUUUAAGAGAUUAAAGUUUUCGGUUCGGCCGGACGAAACACAGGUGCUGCAUGGCUGUCGUCAGCUCGUGUCGUGAGAUGUUGGGUUAAGUCCCGCAACGAGCGCAACCCUCACUUUUAGUUGCCAUCAUUUAGUUGGGCACUCUGAAAGAACUGCCAGUGAUAAGCUGGAGGAAGGUGGGGAUGACGUCAAGUCCUCAUGGCCCUUACGUGUUGGGCUACACACGUGCUACAAUGGUAUCUACAACAGGAAGCAAAACCGCGAGGUUAAGCAAAUCCUUAAAAGAUACCUCAGUUCGGAUUGCACUCUGCAACU
rnacentral:rRNA from 1 species